GUGCUUUGACAAGACACAUACUAAAACUGGAGCAAUACAGAGAAGAUUAACACGGUCCCAUGAACAAGGAUGAAAUGCAAAUUCAUGAAGCGUUUUAUAUUUUA